UUAUUUACCUGACAGGGGAGAUGCUAUGGUCAUGAUGGUGAUCUCAGGAUGAAGGAGACUCAUUUAUUGCAUUCUGAAUGUGCAGACCCUUGUGAGUCCCCAAAGUGUAGGAAGGCUGAUAUGUAAUUUGUGGUAGCAGAGGGAUUGUGUUUAUGUGCUGCUGUU